GACGAACGCUGGCGGCGUGCUUAACACAUGCAAGUCGAACGGUGAAGUAGGGAGCUUGCUCCCUGCGGAUCAGUGGCGAACGGGUGAGUAACACGUGAGCAAUCUGCCCCGAACUCUGGGAUAAGCGCUGGAAACGGUGUCUAAUACUGGAUACGACGCGGGAGGGCAUCCUCUCCGCGUGGAAAGAAUUUCGGUUCGGGAUGAGCUCGCGGCCUAUCAGCUUGUUGGUGAGGUAACGGCUCACCAAGGCGACGACGGGUAGCCGGCCUGAGAGGGUGACCGGCCACACUGGGACUGAGACACGGCCCAGACUCCUACGGGAGGCAGCAGUGGGGAAUAUUGCACAAUGGGCGCAAGCCUGAUGCAGCAACGCCGCGUGAGGGACGACGGCCUCGGUUGUAACGUACUUUAGUCUAGGAAGAAGACGAACGUAGACGGUACCGUCGCACGAAAAGAACAACCGGACGUAACUAACGUACGCCACGCACGCCGCGGUAACGUAGCGUACGUACGACG
rnacentral:rRNA from 1 species